UCAUCUUCAUCUCUUUCGGGAAUCGUCGUUCCAGACUUCCAUUUCCGCCUCUCGUCUCGGUCUCACACAGCAGUCUGCUCUCACCUCUCGCUCUCUCCGUCUCUCGUGCCGUCGUGCGCACUGCGCUCAGUGGCUCACUCUCUCCGUCUCUCGUACCCGUGAGUCGUGACUGACUCUGCUCUCGUCUCUCGCUCUCAGUCUCAACUCUCCCGUCUCUCACUCUCUCGUCUCUCACUCUCAACUCUCCCGCCUCUCACUCUCUCGUCUCUCAACUCUUUCGACUCUCACUCUCUCGUCGCUCUCAAUCUCUCUUCUCUCAACUCUCGGCCCCUGUCUCAGUCUCUCUGCCGAUCUGCGAUUCUGCCCCCACGUUUCUCAAAAACCCUAGUCUGAUGGAGGGAGGAGACAACAUAUUGGAAGCCAUCUACGAAGAGGAUAACCUAGAAGACAUCGAUGAUGUUGAAAUGCUUGAUGUGGAAGAAGGAGAGUUACUGGAGCCUAAUCCCCAAAAUGAGAAGGUACUAGGCGGUGGUGGAGAUGUGAAUUUAGUAAGUCAAGGAUCUCAAAAUAAAAACCACAAGCGCAGGGCAAGUAAGAAGAAGAAUAAGAAAAAGAAGGGUGGCACAGGGCCGAAUGUUACAGAUAUAAACAGGUUUGUGUUAGAUACAUGUAGGUUUCUGAAAGAGAAGAAAUCAUAUAUGGUAUAUGCGGCUGUUGGUUGUCUGGGAAUUUCUGCACUAAGCGAUCUCGUCAAGGAGAUUUCUCUUACAGAAGCCGUUUUGCUCCUUUCAAUCAUGUGCUCUGAGCUAUGAUGUCCUCUGGCUAAACUACCUCGUGAUUUGCUAUUUGUGUGGAUGCGAUUCAAACUUGUGGAGGUCAGAUGACUGCAGAUGGCAGGCGCUCUCGAACUGGUGGUGGCAUAUUAUGGCGCAUCAUUAAAGCACGAGAACCAAAAGCCUAUAAAGUGAUAAUGAAUAAGGCAAAGGAGUUUGAGAAACAAUUCAAACAACCAAAUAUUAGGCAAGGAACAAAGCAAAAGAAAGACGGUGGUUCAGAAGGAACUGCCAAUGCAUUUAUGAAUGGGAAUGCAGUCAGUUUGUCCGAUGGUUCGCAGCUCAUAUCCAAUGUGCAGAAUCAACAAGAGCAGUUGAAUACUGGAAUUAAACGAGUACCUGUUCAUGAUAGGUUAAGGAUACCUGUCUCAUAUGAUGAUGACCUUCUAGGACAAGAUACCAAGGAUGAUGCAGCAGCUUGAUUGGAACAAAAUGUUCAAUCCAUUUGGGUGGGGAUGGGCCGUGUUCCUUGGAGGCAACAAUUAAUUUUCCCGUUUGACGGAGGUCGCCAGAGUAUUAAUGCGUUUUGAAUUUUCUUUUUUACAAAAUGUGUAAUAGAAUCUCAAUUUAAGAAUUCAUUUCCUAAUCAUUAGCUCUUAAUGUAUUCGUUACUUACAUUAGCAUUUGUUAUCUUUUUAAAUGUCAAAUCUUGUGAAAGUUGCAUGGUAA